CUGUUUUCUCAUGGAAAGAACACUUUGCUCUGACAGAAAGGCAAGGCGGGGGCAAGCCUGGGCUGCAACGUUUGUGCCAGCAAAUGCAAAGAAAGGGCUGAUUGACAAAUGCUGUUGCUUUGGAAAACAGAAGGAAGUGUACAGAACUGCUGGGGAACCAACAGUUUGAACACGGGCAUGCAUACAAAAAGGGGAGAAGGCAACGGAACCGGUGUGCUGCACUGUGAAAGGCUGGCUUACAUUAGAAAUCCAUUUCUGCUUUGACACAGCUUGCUCUCGCUCUCCCCACCUGUAAUAAACAUUCUUAAACAAAAGAACAACAUGGAUGCCGUGAAACCCGGGAGGCUUUCCCCGUGGCAGCUGCAAGAGACUCGGGGAUCCUUCUCUCGAACCAACAACACACUUUUUUCAUCUACCAAUUCACUGCCACUGGGUCUACAGAGAUGCCGGAGUUCCCUACAGCCUGGACUUCAUUGAAAUAACCAGCUACCUAGGAUGUGGCAUCACCCCAGCUUUCUCAGACACCCCAAAGAUGUUCAACGCCCCCCAGGUCAGCAGGAAGCAGUCUUAAGAACUCCUUAAUUUGCUUAUUUCCUAACUUGCCACGCCCAACUCCCCACCGUUUUAAUAAUAAUAAGAGGUGAGAUUGUUGAAACUAAACACCGCGCUGACCCCGUCCCCUGACAACAGGUGGGGCCCGAACAGUGGUGUGGCCACAUUAUCCCUGUGUCACUCCUUGUGGAGCUGCUGCAUAAGGACUCAGUACGCAUGCGCAAGCUUCCCCUUUAAGUGAGCACCGCUGGAUGAUCGCCCCUCCCGACUCUCCUCUCCCUUCUCUCUUCUCUCACCCUCUUUGUCUCUUCUUGUCUCUCCUCACUCUCCCGCCCUGUAAUAAACUGGUGGUUAAUGUACUCUCUAUGGUUCAUGUUCCAUCUAGCGUGUCUUAGUCUUAAACAAAAGAACUUUAUAGUGACAUAUUUUCUUACUAAUACUCUAUAGCAUAUUUUUCAUUAGAUAUAGUAACAGCUUCAAUAUUGCUUUUUUGCUCUUUUUGUAUGUAAUUGUUUUCACUAUUAAGGGUGUUUUGUGCUGAGAUGUAAAUUUUGUUAUUUUUUAAUUAGCUGAAGAAUAUUAAAAUUAUAUGAAAAUUGCAUUUAAAAAAAGAAAUAAUAUUUUGCCCAUUGGGCUCUUAAUGAAUACAGGGCAGUGCUUAAGGAAACUAUCCCAUUUUGUAGAUGCUGUCAACUAUUGGCUGUUUAUGUGUUUAUACAAAGUUUGACCUCCUGAAUAAAAUGAGAAUUCUACUUA